CAGCCGCGGUAAUACGUAGGGGGCAAGCGUUGUCCGGAAUCAUUGGGCGUAAAGAGCGUGUAGGCGGCUCGGUAAGUCUGCUGUGAAAGUCCAGGGCUCAACCCUGGAAUGCCGGUGGAAACUGUCGAGCUAGAGUCCGGAAGAGGCGAGUGGAAUUCCUGGUGUAGCGGUGAAAUGCGCAGAUAUCAGGAGGAACACCGAUGGCGAAGGCAGCUCGCUGGGACGGUACUGACGCUGAGACGCGAAAGCGUGGGGAGCAAACAGGAUUAGAUACCCUGGUAGUCCACGCCGUAAACGAUGGGCACUAGGUGUGGGGGGUGUCGACUCCCUCCGUGCCGACGCUAACGCAUUAA
rnacentral:rRNA from 1 species